rnacentral:misc_RNA from 1 species
AUUACUUUCUGCUCCAAUUCCGAUGUGAGAUAGGUCUCCCAUCCAUCCUAAGCGAGGGUCUACCACUUUCGUGGCGUACCAAUCGGUCUUUCACGACGGCCUUUCCUCCUCCUUAAGACUCCAGCGUCCUCGCUCAACGCACCGUACUGGGGGAGCAUUCGGCUCUGAUACCAAUUGUAAUGGCCAGGCUCUAACUACUAGAGGAAUUGUCGGCUUUGGCCAUAAGCCUCACGGU